GACAGGGGUGAACUAGACAUAGAUCAGACAUGUUUGGAUACCAAUGAGGCUUUUUUCAAACCUGGCAAGUUGUUUCUCGAUCCAUUGGCCAAGGAGAUGGCUGAUGAGGCAGAGAGUUUCGCUUCAUACUCUAGACUCUGGGAAUAUAAAUGGGGGAAAACCCGUGGUUUCUUCAGAGACCCAACGGUUAUAAGUUCAAUGCAGUUUACACACUACACGCCUGGACGCGAGCCAUACAGCAUGGAGUGUAACACCCUGGAAACCUUGCAGAUCAUCUCCAUCAAACUCACUGAACUUUCUGAUGGCCUUGAGUUGCCAUUGUCUGUGUAUGGUGUGGUUGCGGUCCGAGACAUGGUGGAUCGCAAGCGAAACAUUCUCUUCUCUCGAGAUAUGAGCGACCCCAAGAACUGAAACAGAAUGAUCCUUUUCUGCACUUGACUGGGCCGUCACGUGCAAUCGUGUUCAAGGACAAGGUUUGCAUUGAAAUCGAACUAAGAGUAAAAAGCGGGGCAUACUCUCAAGAUAAAGCGUUGAUCAGUUGUGUGCGCCGUUACACGGGAGAAAACGGUCCUGGGGUGUCUACCAUCUGCUUCAAGAAUAGCUUGUGCACCGUAGAGGUGUGCUUGC